rnacentral:rRNA from 1 species
GACGUAGGGCGCGAGCGUUGUCCGGAUUUAUUGGGCGUAAAGAGCGCGUAGGCGGCCGAGUAAGUCCGUCGUGAAAUCUGGAGGCUCAACCUCCAGCGGUCGUUGGAAACUACUCGGCUAGAGUCCGGAAGAGGAGAGUGGAAUUCCCGGUGUAGUGGUGAAAUGCGUAGAUAUCAGGAGGAACACCAAUGGCGAAGGCAGCACUCUGGGACGUGACUGACGCUGAGACGCGAAAGCGUGGGGAGCAAACAGG